rnacentral:rRNA from 1 species
UACGUAGGGUGCAAGCGUUGUCCGAAAUUAUUGGGCGUAAAGAGCUCGUAGGCGGUUUGUCGCGUCUGCUGUGAAAUCCUGCUGCUUAACGGUGGGCUUGCGGUCGAUACGGGCAGACUAGAGUUCGGUAGGGGAGACUGGAAUUCCUGGUGUAGCGGUGAAAUGCGCAGAUAUCAGGAGGAACACCGGUGGCGAAGGCGGAUCUCUGGGCCGAUACUGACGCUGAGGAGCGAAAGCGUGGGGAGCGAACAGG